AGAGUUUGAUCCUGGCUCAGGAUGAACGCUAGCUACAGGCUUAACACAUGCAAGUCGAGGGGCAGCAUCAUCAAAGCUUGCUUUGAUGGAUGGCGACCGGCGCACGGGUGAGUAACACGUAUCCAACCUGCCGACAACACUGGGAUAGCCUUUCGAAAGAAAGAUUAAUACCGGAUGGCAUAGUUUUCCCGCAUGGGAUAAUUAUUAAAGAAUUUCGGUUGUCGAUGGGGAUGCGUUCCAUUAGGCAGUUGGCGGGGUAACGGCCCACCAAACCAACGAUGGAUAGGGGUUCUGAGAGGAAGGUCCCCCACAUUGGAACUGAGACACGGUCCAAACUCCUACGGGAGGCAGCAGUGAGGAAUAUUGGUCAAUGGACGAGAGUCUGAACCAGCCAAGUAGCGUGAAGGAUGACUGCCCUAUGGGUUGUAAACUUCUUUUAUACGGGAAUAAAGUUAGCCACGUGUGGCUUUUUGUAUGUACCGUAUGAAUAAGGAUCGGCUAACUCCGUGCCAGCAGCCGCGGUAAUACGGAGGAUCCGAGCGUUAUCCGGAUUUAUUGGGUUUAAAGGGAGCGUAGGCGGGUUGUUAAGUCAGUUGUGAAAGUUUGCGGCUCAACCGUAAAAUUGCAGUUGAUACUGGCGACCUUGAGUGCAACAGAGGUAGGCGGAAUUCGUGGUGUAGCGGUGAAAUGCUUAGAUAUCACGAAGAACUCCGAUUGCGAAGGCAGCUUACUGGAUUGUAACUGACGCUGAUGCUCGAAAGUGUGGGUAUCAAACAGGAUUAGAUACCCUGGUAGUCCACACAGUAAACGAUGAAUACUCGCUGUUGGCGAUAUACGGUCAGCGGCCAAGCGAAAGCAUUAAGUAUUCCACCUGGGGAGUACGCCGGCAACGGUGAAACUCAAAGGAAUUGACGGGGGCCCGCACAAGCGGAGGAACAUGUGGUUUAAUUCGAUGAUACGCG
rnacentral:rRNA from 1 species